rnacentral:rRNA from 1 species
UACGUAGGGGGCGAGCGUUGUCCGGAUUUAUUGGGCGUAAAGAGCGUGUAGGCGGCCAGGUAGGUCUGCUGUGAAAACUACGAGGCUCAACCUCGAGACGUCGGCGGAAACCAUCUGGCUAGAGUCCGGAAGAGGAGAGUGGGAAUUCCUGGUGUAGCGGUGAAAUGACGCAGAUAUCAGGAAGAACACCCGUGGCGAAGGCGGUUCUCUGGGCAUGUCCUGACGCUGAGGAGCGAAAAGUGUGGGGAGGCGAACAGG